UACGGAGGGUGCGAGCGUUGUCCGGAAUCACUGGGCGUAAAGGGCGCGUAGGCGGCCUGAUAAGUAGGGGGUGAAAUCCUGCGGCUUAACCGCAGGGCUGCCUUCUAAACUGUCAGGCUAGAGCACGGUAGAGGCAGAUGGAAUUCCCGGGUGUAGCGGUGGAAUGCGUAGAGAUCGGGAAGAACAUCAGUGGCGAAGGCGGUCUGCUGGGCCGUUGCUGACGCUGAGGCGCGACAGCGGUGGGGAGCAAACAGG
rnacentral:rRNA from 1 species